AACGAACGCUGGCGGCAUGCCUAACACAUGCAAGUCGAACGAGACCUUCGGGUCUAGUGGCGCACGGGUGCGUAACGCAUGGGAAUCUGCCCUUGGGUUCGGGAUAACAGUUGGAAACGACUGCUAAUACCGGAUGAUGACUUCGGUCCAAAGAUUUAUCGCCCAAGGAUGAGCCCGCGUCGGAUUAGCUAGUUGGUGAGGUAAAGGCUCACCAAGGCGACGAUCCGUAGCUGGUCUGAGAGGAUGAUCAGCCACACUGGGACUGAGACACGGCCCAGACUCCUACGGGAGGCAGCAGUGGGGAAUAUUGGACAAUGGGCGAAAGCCUGAUCCAGCAAUGCCGCGUGAGUGAUGAAGGCCUUAGGGUUGUAAAGCUCUUUUACCCGGGAUGAUAAUGACAGUACCGGGAGAAUAAGCCCCGGCUAACUCCGUGCCAGCCGCCGCUGUAAUAC
rnacentral:rRNA from 1 species